UACCCAACGAUUGAGAUCACGUGUGUCUCAAAGACAGUGACCCAACAUUUUUGCAAUGAUGCAAUUUCAUAAACUUUGGAGAAUGCAGUGACUAUAAGGGAGAGCUCAUCCAUGAGAGAGGUACAUGCCAAAAAUCCUUUUUUCAUUCAUUUUAGCACUUACAAAAAUCAUACCAAAAAGGCAUCGCCAAAAAAAAAGAAGAAGAAAAGAAAAGGGGGCA
rnacentral:lncRNA from 1 species